rnacentral:rRNA from 1 species
UACGGAGGGUGCGAGCGUUGUUCGGAAUCACUGGGCGUAAAGCGCGUGUAGGCGGCCCACUAAGUCUGAUGUGAAAGCCCGGGGCUCACCCCCGGAAGUGCAUUGGAAACUGGUGGACUCGAGUCCCGGAGAGGAGAGUGGAAUUCCUGGUGUAGCGGUGAAAUGCGUAGAUAUCAGGAGGAACACCGGUGGCGAAGGCGGCUUGCUGGGCCAGUUCUGACGCUGAGGAGCGAAAGCGUGGGGAGCGAACAGG